AAAAAAAAAAAUUUAUAUUUAAAGUCAAACAAAUAGCGAGAAAUAAUUUUUUUAUAUUUAAAGUGAAAUAGCUGAAUGGCUGAACACUUAUUUGAGCAUUAAACUAUAGCAGUAAUUCUGAAUUGAAUCGGAAAAGGCCGCUUAAAGAUUCACUGUUAUAUUAGAAAAAAUAAAGAUUAAUUUUGUCUAAAAAUUUAAUUCGUUGAACAUGAUAUUAAAG
rnacentral:lncRNA from 1 species